rnacentral:misc_RNA from 1 species
AAGGAUAAGUAGUGUAGGAUCNUAGCGAGCCAACCUCCCACCCGUGUUUACUGUACCUUAGUUGCUUCGGCGGGCCCGCCAUUCAUGGCCGCCGGGGGCUCUCAGCCCCGGGCCCGCGCCCGCCGGAGACACCACGAACUCUGUCUGAUCUAGUGAAGUCUGAGUUGAUUGUAUCGCAAUCAGUUAAAACUUUCAACAAUGGAUCUCUUGGUUCCGGCAUCGAUGAAGAACGCAGCGAAAUGCGAUAACUAGUGUGAAUUGCAGAAUUCCGUGAAUCAUCGAGUCUUUGAACGCACAUUGCGCCCCCUGGUAUUCCGGGGGGCAUGCCUGUCCGAGCGUCAUUGCUGCCCAUCAAGCACGGCUUGUGUGUUGGGUCGUCGUCCCCUCUCCGGGGGGGACGGGCCCCAAAGGCAGCGGCGGCACCGCGUCCGAUCCUCGAGCGUAUGGGGCUUUGUCACCCGCUCUGUAGGCCCGGCCGGCGCUUGCCGAACGCAAAUCAAUCUUUUUCCAGGUUGACCUCGGAUCAGGUAGGGAUACCCGCUGAACUUAAGCAUUCUAAANNNGGGAAGAAAAA